CGGUACCUCAAAAACAAGCCACGGCUAACUACGUGCCAGCAGCCGCGGUAAUACGUAGGUGGCGAGCGUUGUCCGGAAUUACUGGGUGUAAAGGGCGUGUAGGCGGGGAUGCAAGUCAGAUGUGAAAAUCCCCGGCUUAACCCNGGGANUGCAUUUGAAACUGUGUCUCUUGAGUGUCGGAGAGGAAAGCGGAAUUCCCAGUGUAGCGGUGAAAUGCGUAGAGAUUGGGAGGAACACCCGUGGCGAAGGCGGCUAUCUGGACNGCAACUGACGCUGAGGCGCGAAAGCGUGGGGAGCAAACAGGAUUAGAUACCCUGGUAGUNCCCGCCGUAAACGAU
rnacentral:rRNA from 1 species